AGGAAGCAAAAUGGAAUUCUUCU
rnacentral:snRNA from 1 species